ACAGUCUCUCCUUCGCCAGCUCCCACACCGCUGCCCUCCACUUCGUCCCCGCCAUCGCCGCCCGACCGCCUGCUGCUGCUGCAGCUGCCGCCUUCCGCCCCGCUGCCGUCGCCCAGGCUCGCCCCCUCCUCCUCGUCCUCGGUGCUGUCGCUCAGGGACGCGCCGUCCUGCAUCAACUCCUUCCCCUCCAGCGCGUCCAGCUCCAGAUCCACAGUCGCCGGCCCUCGCCCAUUGAAAUGCCUCAAGGGCCACACCGAGGUCUCGGGGCGGCCGCGGCUACUGCCAUUGUUGCCGAGACCCCCGCCGCCGCCGCCUCGGAAGGCCAGAGUCCGACGGUUCCUUUCCGCUAGCAGGGGGCCCCCCGCGCCACCGCCAAGCGAGGUGGGGCCGCCCGCGUCUUGGGGGAGCAGCAACUCCUUGGCUUCCUCGGCGGCGCCGGCGGCCGGCCCGGCGGAGGCCUCCAGGUCUUGGGGCUCCAGGCCCUCCAAUUCCACUUCCUCGUCGGCCCCCCGCCCAUUAGGCGGCUGAAGCGCGGGCGGCGCUGGCGGCGGGGGCUGUCUCGGCUGGGGCUGCGGAGGCCAAGCUGAGGCCUCCCCGCCAGCGUUAUUGUUCGUGGAGCCGCCGCCGCUAGCGGUGACCAACCCGCCUCCUCGGAACGCCAGCGUCCUGCGGUUCAUUUCACUGAACGACAUGGCGCGCGCCGCCGCCGCCGCCGCCCGGUGCCCCGGCUCGCGCACGGCCUCGGGCCGCGUCCCGCGCGCUCCCCGCGGCUCCCCCUCUGUCUCGCCCCCGCCCCCGGCGUUCCGGUCUCGCGGGGCUCGGCCUCGCCCUCUCGCCCGGCAGCCCGGCUCGCGCUCGCUCCCGGGUCUGCUGCACGCGUCCGCUGCCGCUGCCGCUGCCGGGCCGACGCCUCCGACCGCUCUCUCGUCCUCCACCCCCGCCCCGCCGCGCUCCGGGCAGCGUCCCGCGCGGAGAAGGGGGCGGGCGGCGGAGAGGUGAGGAGCGAGCCUGCAGCGAGCGAGGCCUUCGAAGUUGAGCAGCGGAGUGCGGGGAGACCCUCCGCUGCCCCCUCUUUAAAGCCGCGCGCGCACACACCGAUCCUCCACACAGAUAUCCUUCCUCCGCGCGCCGAGGAGUCCCGACGCCGCCGCCGGCUUCGCAGGCGCUGAGGGUGAGAGGCACGCUAAACUGCUCGGCUCCGCCACAUAACGAAGCGACAAUAAAGCCGGCGGAGCGUUUCCGUCCGACCAGGCCCUGGCGGAGGUCGAAUGGCAAAUGAACAACGGACCGUGCGCCCACAAUGCACCGGGGUAGCAGUAACCGCUGGAGGGGGAAAGGGUGGGGGCCGGGCUGGGGGAGGGGGGCUGGGCUUGGGGCUGGGCUGGGGUGGGGUGGGGGCGCCAGGGGACCGGGAAAGGGGCUGGGCUGCGCCUCCGGCCUGGGGGCGGGGGUGCGGCCGCGGGGAAGGAAGUCGGCCGAGGGGUUGGGGACAAAAGGCCGGGCGGCGGGCUGGGGGUCUCAGGGAGGGGGCGGGCGUGUGCGGCCGGGGCCGGGCUACGCGGAGGACAAACAGCUGGCGAGUGUCAGGGUCUGGCCGCCUCCCCGCUGCCCACACGCACCUACCCGCGCCCGGGACGCGCAUUUUCCUUCUCUCGCCACGAGUUCACCUGGGACUUUGCAAAUAACUGUGCGGUGGGAGCUGCGCUCCAGCCUUGUCAUUUGCUGAGGGUGGGUGGCGGUGCCCAAGGAAGUGAACUUAUUUUGUUCCUUCACAAAGACUGGACCAGGCGGUGCCUUUCACGCGAAGAGGUUACGACCACGGACACAACCUCCUUUGAUGCAUUGUGCGAGGCAGCACCUCGGGCCCCGGACAGUAGUCAUUUCACAGAAAAUGCACCGCCCCGAGUGUCUUAUUGCUGUGAUGAAAUGGAAAUUUAAAUAAAAGGUCGAACACGUGCGUUCACUGGGAAGUAUUGACAUGGGUGUUACAUCACCAGCAGCCAAUCAGAUAACUCCAGUCGUGUUUAUACUUCUACAACCACCUUGUGAGUAUUACAGUAUGUCAUAACGUUAUAAAUAUUAGGCAGGGUUUUCCCCAGGAGCGGGGAGGAGUCUGCUUCUACGGACGUUGUGAGCGGCUCCGAAGAUUGUGUGUUUAAAGUCAACAAUUCAUUUUUAAGACUUUUUUCGAACUGUUUACAUUACAUGGACUUUAGAUUGAUUCUGACAGAAUGAACUGGAAAUGAAAUCCCACAGUUAUGAUCGUAGUAGAGUUUUUUUUUCCAAUUUAGGGCCCUUAUACUCCUUUUAAAAAUUUUUAAUAUGCUAAAUUUAGCAAAUACUAAAGUGUUAAGACUCAUCUGACAAUGUGAGAAUUUAAGCCUAUUUCAGGUUAAGAAAAAAAAGAUGUUUUCAAGUUAUGGAGGGGCUUUUUACUCUUAAGCGACAUAUGUAUUAGAAGUUGAAUCACGAACUGAUAAAAUGCUCCAGAUAAUUGUUGACUAAAAAAAAUACGGCAGGACAAAUUUUUUACAUUAAUACAUAUGUGCAGAAAAUGAGAAAUAUACAUGAACUCUUUACAGUUAUAGAUUAAUGGGAAGGGUUAUGUUAAAGGCUUGAACCUCCUAAAUAAUGUAUUAAUGUAAAUAAAGUUAUAUAUGUUUUAUGAAGAACAGGUGUUACAAUUUUUAGACCUAGUUUUAUGAUUCUUAUUCUCUUCAAAAGUUCUUUUUCUAUUUCAAAACUAAGAGCAAUAUGUAAAGCUUUGUAUAAUAUGGAAUAUGGUAUGUAUUUCAAGGUUACUUUAAAAAGCAAGCUUUGGCUGGUCCCAAGGUAGUGAAUUGUCUCAAUUGGUUAUUCACAGUUGGUUGCCCGUUGUACCACUCUUUCCCCACUUCCACUUGACUAGUCUUUUAAAAAUAAAUAAAUAUUUAAAUAAACAAGUCUUCUCAAACAUUAUAAAAGACCGUUUUUCUUAAUAUUUUUUAAAUGGACUAACAUGAAUCCACAUCCAGACUCAUAUUAAUUGUAUACAUUUAUUCAAAGCAACAUUCACUUCAUUCAUUGUAAUUUUUAGUACCUGUUGAUGAGCAGUGUUGUAUAUCAAACAAAAAACAUUGGUUUUAUCUUGUAGAUUACAUGUAAUUUUAAUGUAAAGAAUGACAGUACUACCCUGCCACAAAAGGAUUUUGGCUUUGAGUUAUUUUUCCGGUAAUAAACAUAUUGUCACCUGGCCACCAGUGACCAAGAGCUUGAAAUUCUGAUAUAGUUCUUCAGGUGGGUACAGUUGUAGGGUGUUUUUGUUUGUUUGUUUGUUUGUUUUGUCCUGCUUUGUUUUAGUUGCUGGGAAGCUUAAGACAGUGGAGUCUGAUCUUGACCUAAUUCGUACCCUUAAGAAAUAAGAGAACUCUGCCAAGUGAGGCUGUAUAAUAUGUGCCACAUAUGGAAGAAUGCCAUAAUAAUACUUGUGCUCUGUUUUUAAUGCGUGUUUUUUUUUCAUUCUAGGCAUUUUGAAAAUAAAUACAUUUAUUAUAUGUUAAUCACCACAGCCUCCACCCCCAUAAAAAGAGGGAAGAGUUACUGAAGUUAAUUACUUAUCUAGGAUCAAGGUGAUGGGAAAUGAAAAUGGACUUAAAAAUUUUUAUUUUGCUGGGCACGGUGGCUCACGCCUGUAAUCCCAGCACUUUGGGGGCCGAGACGGGCGGAUCAUGAGGUCUGGAGUUCAAGACCAGCCUGACCAACAUGGUGAAACCCCGUCUCUACUAAAAAUUCAAAAAAUUAGCCAGGUGUGGUGGCGCUCGCCUAUAAUCCCAGCUACUCAGGAGGCUGAGGUAGAAGAAUCACUUGAACCAGAGAGGCGGAGGUUGCAGUGAGCUGAGAUCAUGCCAUUGCACUCCAGCCUGGGCGACAGAGCGAGAUUCCAUCUGAAAAAAAAAAAAAUUUUAUUUCAGCUCUAAAGCUUGUUUUCAUUCAAAAACUGUUAAAUUCAAAUAUUUGCUACUUCUUAUCUCGUAUCCUACUACAUAGUAGGCACUAUAUAAAUUUAUGUAUUAUUUUUGCUAAUAGUGCCAGAAUCAACCAAAAACGUUUAAAUCCAUAAUUGUGUCAGACCUGCCUUUUUCUCAGACAUAUAUCUUACCUUAUGUUUUAUAAAAUCCUCAUUGUCUUCUAUCUGAAGUUAUGUUUAAACAUGGACUAAUUAGGAAUGAAUGACACUAGAGUCAAGUGGUACAAAUAAAUGACUUAAAUUCUAGGACCACUGAACUAACAGUAUCAGGGUGAUGUGUGUGUGUUUG
rnacentral:lncRNA from 1 species